CAGACUGUUGGGGAUGAGCGGUCCACUUGUCCCACCGAAGAAGACAAGAAAUCACCCAGUUCUUCGGAAACCAGCACAGACAAUAUCAUAGCUGAUCAUACAUCUUCUGCUGCUGAAGAUGGACUUCUUGCUCAAGAAAAGACUGUCAGUAAUCAUACAGGUGUUCCCACAGGAGGCUUGGAAUUAAGUACUACUGAGAUAAAAGUAGGAGGAGAUAAAAAGGCUGAAUCCAUGGAUGAUAUGGUGCCAGGGACAUUGAAUAAUAAU
rnacentral:lncRNA from 1 species